rnacentral:rRNA from 1 species
GCAGUCGAGCGAACAGACGAGGAGCUUGCUCCUUUGACGUUAGCGGCGGACGGGUGAGUAACACGUAKGUAACCUACCUAUMAGACYGGSAUAACUUCGGGAAACCGGANCUAAUACCGGAUAAUAUUUCGAACCGCAYGGUUCSAUAGUGAAAGAUGGMUUUGCUAUCACUUAUAGAUGGACCUGCGCCGUAUUAGCUAGUUGGUAAGGUAACGGCUUACCAAGGCAACGAUACGUAGCCGACCUGAGAGGGUGAUCGGCCACACUGGAACUGAGACACGGUCCAGACUCCUACGGGAGGCAGCAGUAGGGAAUCUUCCGCAAUGGGCGAAAGCCUGACGGAGCAACGCCGCGUGAGUGAUGAAGGUCUUCGGAUCGUAAAACUCUGUUAUUAGGGAAGAACAAACGUGUAAKUAACUGUGCACGUCUUGACGGUACCUAAUCAGAAAGCCACGGCUAACUACGUGCCAGCAGCCGCGGUAAUACGUAGGUGGCAAGCGUUAUCCGGAAUUAUUGGGCGUAAAGCGCGCGUAGGCGGUUUUUUAAGUCUGAUGUGAAAGCCCACGGCUCAACCGUGGAGGGUCAUUGGAAACUGGAAAACUUGAGUGCAGAAGAGGAAAGUGGAAUUCCAUGUGUAGCGGUGAAAUGCGCAGAGAUAUGGAGGAACACCAGUGGCGAAGGCGACUUUCUGGUCUGUAACUGACGCUGAUGUGCGAAAGCGUGGGGAUCAANCAGGAUUAGAUACCCUGGUAGUCCACGCCRUAANCGAUGAGUGCUAAGUGUUAGGGGGUUUCCGCCCCUUAGUGCUGCAGCUAACGCAUUAAGCACUCCGCCCGGGGAGUACGACCGCANGGUUGAAAACUCAAGGANWUGACNGGGAAACCGCACAAGCGGGUGGAGCMAUGUGGUUUAAUUUCNAAGCNANCGCGAAGAAAACCUUACCAA